CCGUGGUUGGCUCACAAGUAAGAAAGUAAACAAAAAAAAGGUGUUUAAAGUGUGCAGCAGCUCUUUGCAUGAAGAAACCAUGAGAGAUUGGAAGCUCGUAAUUUGAGUUCGUUGGUGCAGAACUGCAGAAACACAGCUAAUCAUUUAUUAAGACCGCCUUGACGUUUCCCUCAGCUCAGUGAAAACAACUGGUUACCCAAAGUCCCACCUGAUGCCCUUGACACACAUCUCACUGGAGAGAGGACCUAGGAACCAUACCUUUGAAAUAUAAUCAUCAAGGAAGGUAGCACCCAUAUUUCCCAGUUUCUGUGAGAGCCCAACCAUGACCAAGUUGCAAAACUACCACCUGUCAUAGAGGUAUCGCAUGUGAGGAAGUUCAGCCUGAUCUACUCUCCUUGAGGAUAAAAGACACCUAGAGAGAGGCCCAGGGGAGUUUCUAAAGGAGCAUACAUUA